UACGUAGGUGGCAAGCGUUGUUCGGAAUUAUUGGGCGUAAAGCGCGCGCAGGCGGUCCUUUAAGUCUGAUGUGAAAGCCCACGGCUCAACCGUGGAGGGUCAUUGGAAACUGGGGGACUUGAGUGCAGAAGAGGAAAGCGGAAUUCCACGUGUAGCGGUGAAAUGCGUAGAGAUGUGGAGGAACACCAGUGGCGAAGGCGGCUUUCUGGUCUGUAACUGACGCUGAGGCGCGAAAGCGUGGGGAGCAAACAGG
rnacentral:rRNA from 1 species